GUGCUGGCUUUGGCAGCAUGUAUAGUAAAAUUGGAAUGAUACAAGAUAGCAUGACCCCUGCCCAAGGAUGGCAUGCAAAUUCAUGUAUAUUUUUAAAAACUG
ensembl:snRNA U6 U6 spliceosomal RNA